ACUGUGACAUCCCUUUUCUUGCCUAAACCUAACCAACCAAAACAACGAAGGCAACGAACACUAGCCAAUCAGAGGCAGGUCUUCGCGGAAUACGGGUAAGAGAAAAAAAAAAAAAAAAAAAAAAUGUUUCUCUUCACUGCGUGGUAGCAGCUUUUUGUGGACUGUUUCUGACUCACUUAACACGAAUAACCAAGCUUAAAACUUAAAGGUUUUUCUCAUAUCUGAUAUAUCUGAUCUUGGUGUGAUGUGGAACAGAACCUAACUCUUUGGGGAGCUCAUAUUGUUUUGAUAAAUGCUGAAUUCCAGGGCAUAACAACAAUCCCACUUGAAACAACCUUCAUGGCGCAGUUGGACAGCCAUUUACCCCAGCUGACAUCAGUUUUCCAGAAGAAGGGAGGGGUUUCUGGCCAGAAACUAGCCACACAUCUGGCGAUCUUGCAAGAGGUAAACAUGUGUAUACAUUGUAGUAGAAAAUAUAUACACUGUUGAACAACUUCAUGAAAUGUACCUGUUUCGUACCAUAUGGAGCCUUUGAAGACUUCAAGAGUAGCCUUGAUUAUUUGU